GACGAACGCUGGCGGCGUGCUUAACACAUGCAAGUCGAACGGAAAGGCCCUGCUUUUGUGGGGUACUCGAGUGGCGAACGGGUGAGUAACACGUGAGGAACCUGCCCUUGACUUUGGGAUAACUUCAGGAAACUGGGGCUAAUACCGGGUAGGAGCUCCUGCUGCAUGGUGGGGGUUGGAAAGUUUCGGCGGUUGGGGAUGGACUCGCGGCUUAUCAGCUUGUUGGUGGGGUAGUGGCUUACCAAGGCUUUGACGGGUAGCCGGCCUGAGAGGGUGACCGGCCACAUUGGGACUGAGAUACGGCCCAGACUCCUACGGGAGGCAGCAGUGGGGAAUAUUGCACAAUGGGCGGAAGCCUGAUGCAGCAACGCCGCGUGCGGGAUGACGGCCUUCGGGUUGUAAACCGCUUUCGCCUGUGACGAAGCGUGAGUGACGGUAAUGGGUAAAGAAGCACCGGCUAACUACGUG
rnacentral:rRNA from 1 species